GACGAACGCUGGCGGCGUGCUUAACACAUGCAAGUCGAACGAUGAAGCCGGAGCUUGCUCUGGUGAAUUAGUGGCGAACGGGUGAGUAACACGUGAGUAACCUGCCCUUGACUCUGGGAUAACUGCGGGAAACUGUAGCUAAUACCGGAUACGACCCUCGGAGGCAUCUCCUGGGGGUGGAAAGAAUUUCGGUCAAGGAUGGACUCGCGGCCUAUCAGCUAGUUGGUGAGGUAAAGGCUCACCAAGGCGACGACGGGUAGCCGGCCUGAGAGGGUGACCGGCCACACUGGGACUGAGACACGGCCCAGACUCCUACGGGAGGCAGCAGUGGGGAAUUUUGGACAAUGGACGAAAGUCUGAUCCAGCCAUGCCGCGUGCGGGAAGAAGGCCUUCGGGUUGUAAACCGCUUUUGUCAGGGAAGAAACGCUCUGGGUUAAUACCUCGGGGUAAUGACGGUACCUGAAGAAUAAGCACCGGCUAAC
rnacentral:rRNA from 1 species